UUAGAUCAGAAGCGAGAAUGUUGAUAUGAGUAGCGACAAACAGGGUGAGAGACCCUGUCGCCGUAAGUCCAAGGGUUCCUGCUUAAAGUUAAUCUGAGCAGGGUAAGCCGGCCCCUAAGGCGAGGCCGAAAGGCGUAGUCGAUGGGAACCAGGUUAAUAUUCCUGGGCCAGGAGGAAGUGACGAAUCUCAAAGAUUGUCUGCCCUUAUCGGAUUGGGUGGGCCGUUCAGAGGUCCCUGGAAAUAGCCCUCCAUCAGACCGUACCCUAAACCGACACAGGUGGACUGGUAGAGUAUACCAAGGCGCUUGAGAGAACCACGUUAAAGGAACUCGGCAAAAUGCCUCCGUAAGUUCGCGAGAAGGAGGCCCCGUCUGUAGGCAACUAUAGGCGGGGGGCACAAACUAGGGGGUGGCGACUGUUUACUUAAAACACAGGGCUCUGCGAAGCCGUAAGGCGACGUAUAGGGUCUGACGCCUGCCCGGUGCUGGAAGGUUAAAAGGAGGGGUGCAAGCUCUGAAUUGAAGCCCCAGUAAACGGCGGCCGUAACAAUAACGGUCCUAAGGUAGCGAAAUUCCUUGUCGGGUAAGUUCCGACCUGCACGAAUGGCGUAACGAUCUCCCCGCUGUCUCUAACGUGGACUCAGCGAAAUUGAACUGUGUGUCAAGAUGCACACUACCCGCGGUUAGACGGAAAGACCCCAUGAACCUUUACUCCAGCUUUGCACCGGCAUCGGGAUUGCGAUGUGCAGGAUAGGUGGUAGCCUUUGAAGCGGGGACGCUAGUUCCCGUGGAGGCUCCCUUGAGAUACCACCCUUCGCACUCUUGAUGUCUAACCGCGGCCCGUUAUCCGGGUCCGGGACCCUGCAUGGUGGGGAGUUUGACUGGGGCGGUCGCCUCCCAAACAGUAACGGAGGCGCGCGAAGGUAGGCUCAGACCGGUCGGAAAUCGGUCGUUGAGUGCAAUGGCAGAAGCCUGCCUGACUGCAAGACUGACAAGUCGAGCAGAGACGAAAGUCGGUCAUAGUGAUCCGGUGGUCCCAAGUGGGAGGGCCAUCGCUCAACGGAUAAAAGGUACUCUGGGGAUAACAGGCUGAUGAUGCCCAAGAGUCCAUAUCGACGGCAUCGUUUGGCACCUCGAUGUCGGCUCAUUUCAUCCUGGGGCUGGAGCAGGUCCCAAGGGUAUGGCUGUUCGCCAUUUAAAGAGGUACGUGAGCUGGGUUUAGAACGUCGUGAGACAGUUCGGUCCCUAUCUGCCGUGGGUGUAGGAGACUUGAGAAGAGUUGCCCCUAGUACGAGAGGACCGGGGUGAACGAACCACUGGUGGACCAGUUAUCGUGCCAACGGUAGUGCUGGGUAGCUAUGUUCGGACAGGAUAACCGCUGAAGGCAUCUAAGCGGGAAGCCCCCUUCAAAACAAGGUCUCCCUUGAGGGCCGUGGAAGACCACCACGUCGAUAGGCCGGAGGUGUAAGUGCAGCAAUGCAUUCAGCUGACCGGUACUAAUUGCCC
rnacentral:rRNA from 1 species